AAACCCUUUAAGUUCCUUGAAAAUUUUCUUUUUUCUGAUGACAUGAAGUGCAGAUGAAUGCAUGAAUGCAUGAAUGCAACAAUCACACUCAAGGAUCAAGCAAGGCACACCAAACAAAGGUCGUGGGAAAGCUCAUUGUAUCCCUAAUAUCAAUCAUCCAUUUUGGUGGAUUUAGGUUUUCACCUUAUCGACACCCAAGUUCCAUUGAUAUUAACGGUACAUGAACCG
rnacentral:lncRNA from 1 species